UACGUAGGUGACAAGCGUUGUCCGGAUUUACUGGGCGUAAAGAGCGCGCAGGCGGUCGUUCAAGUCGAGUGUGAAAGCCCCCGGCUCAACUGGGGAGGGUCAUUCGAUACUGAUCGACUCGAAGGCAGGAGAGGGUAGUGGAAUUCCCGGUGUAGUGGUGAAAUGCGUAGAUAUCGGGAGGAACACCAGUGGCGAAGGCGGGUCUCUGGGCCGGUACCGACGCUGAGGAGCGAAAGCGUGGGGAGCGAACAGG
rnacentral:rRNA from 1 species